AGGGUUUCCCUAUAAUAGCAUGUUUUAAAUUAUAUAUACAUAUUAUUUUUAGAGUUUAAUUUCUUCGUUUGAUUUUUGAACAAAUAAAAUAUGUUAUUGGACCAGGUCUGAAGACUAGAUGGGAUCAAACCAAUAAGAAGCCUGAGAAAGUCCACGAAGAAAAACCAGCUACCAUUGCAAUGAGUACUUGUUUCAACAGUUAGAAUGACAAAAAAAACCCAGCUAACACCGGCAAAUAUAGGUUCAAAUUACCAGUUUACCACCACCGAAACUGCUCCUAGAAGGCGACAACAAUCCUAAGCCAUUUAGGCUUUUAUCAUAGGGAGUGGGCGGGCGAGGAGAAUGGCUCCUCUAUGGCUGGCGAGGCCACACCGACCACAAGCAGGGGUGAAGUCACAGCGUGGGCACAGAGGGCAUCCGCCCACACUGACAAAGGAAAGUUUGGAGAAAGAAACUUAUCAUUAAUGCUCUAAUAUGGAUGUUGAUGAUUGUUUUAAGAUUUAAUCAAGGAGGAACCACACUUCUUCUCUUUUGCAGUCGCGUUGUGGAAGCUAAUCCUUGCAUGGCAAUUGUGAUCCCUGUGAUUGGAGAGGAUGUAGGGCCUCAAUUAAGAAAUUGGAGAUCAUACAUGGAUAGAUUUUUUAUCUGGACUCAAUCACCUACCAAGGUUGCCUGAUAUUCUAGGUUAUCUACUGGCCUGAAUCAAGGGAUCCGAAAUGUAGCAAAAAUCCAGCUUUGAAGGACAGCACUACAUUUCGAGAGGGACAGUAUUGGAUUAUAUCAGCGACACACAUGCAGGAGUUAUUACCUAAAAUAACUUUCCAAACGCAUGGCCAAGAGGAGACCCAUGGAAGACGGUGGAGGGGUAUGGCUUGGAGCACAAGUGCCCUCACAAGACUUGUGCGGUUGUGCCUUUUGCUUUGGCUAGUGUCCUUUCGGAUCUGAAGUUCAAGAGUAAAUGGACACCCAAUUUGCAAUAUAAAUAACAAAAAAGCUAAAAUGGAAGUGCGUGCCAGAUAAAGACUCUAAGGAUAGAUCGUGGGGGAGAGUUUAUUUACAAGCCUUUUCUUGAUUAUUGCAAAGAGAAUGGUAUUCAAAGGCAACUUACUGCUCGACAUACUCCUCAGCAGAAUGGAGUUGUAGAAAGGAAAAAUAGAGUUAUUGAAGAAAUGGCAAAAAGCAUGUUAAAGGGGAAAAGACUUCCUAAUAAGUUUUGGGUUGAAGCAUGGUAUAAACAAAAACAUGAUGUCAAUCAUCUUAAAGUCUUUGGCAGUAUUGCUUAUGCUCUUAUUCCUUCUCAAAGCAGAGACAAGUUUGAUAAAAAAGGAGAGAGACUUAUCUUCAUUGGCUAUAGUGAUGAAUCAAAAGGCUUUCAACUCUUCAAUCUUAGAAAGGAUCAAUUACUUCUUUCCAGAGAUGUUAUUUUUUUGAAUCUACAACUUGGAAAUGGAAAGAUUCAGUCAAUCCAGAAUCAGCAACACUUGAGUUACUUGAAGUUCCAAAGCAGUUUAAUGUUUCCAAUUCUUCUUCUCAAAAUAAAAUUGGUUCAAAUUCUCAGAAUGAUGGAAGCUCAUCAAGUUCUAAUGAAGAAUUAGACUUGGAAUCUCCUCCAAGGAGAUUUCGACCAUUAACUGACAUUUACAACUCUUGUCAUUUUGCUUUCUUUUCAGGUGAACCUUGGAAUUUUGAAGAACCAAUAAGAAAUGAAGAAUGGAGGAAAGCUAUGAAUGAGGAGAUGAUAAGUAUUGAAAAGAAUCAAACAUGGAAGUUAGUUAAUCUCCCAAAAGAAAAGAAGACAGUGAGCUUAAAAUGGGUGUUCAAGAUCAAAUACAAUGAGGAUGACAAUAUUCAGAAGCAUAAUGCUAGAAUUGUUGCAAAAGGCUACUCACAGAAGCAUGAAGUUGAUUUUAUAGAAACCUUUGCACUUGUUACAAGAAUGGAAACUAUCAAAAUAGUUAUUGCCUUAGUUGCACAACUUCAAUUGCAGGUUUUUCAAUUUGAUGUUAAGUCCAACAUUUCUUAAUGGAGAAUUGCAGGAAAAGGUCUAUGUUGAGCAA